CCUACGGGAGGCAGCAGUGGGGAAUUUUGGACAAUGGGCGGAAGCCUGAUCCAGCCAUGCCGCGUGAGUGAAGAAGGCCUUCGGGUUGUAAAGCUCUUUCGGUGGGGAAGAAAUUGCAUGGGCUAAUACCCUGUGUAGAUGACGGUACCUGGAGAAGAAGCACCGGCUAACUACGUGCCAGCAGCCGCGGUAAUACGUAGGGUGCGAGCGUUAAUCGGAAUUACUGGGCGUAAAGCGUGCGCAGGCGGUUUGGUAAGUCAGAUGUGAAAUCCCCGGGCUCAACCUGGGAACUGCAUUUGAGACUGCCAAGCUGGAGUUUGGCAGAGGGGGGUGGAAUUCCACGUGUAGCAGUGAAAUGCGUAGAGAUGUGGAGGAACACCGAUGGCGAAGGCAGCCCCCUGGGCCAAUACUGACGCUCAUGCACGAAAGCGUGGGGAGCAAACAGGAUUAGAUACCCUGGUAGUCCACGCCCUAAACGAUGUCAACUAGGUGUUGGGAGGGUUAAACCUUUUAGUGCCGUAGCUAACGCGUGAAGUUGACCGCCUGGGGAGUACGGCCGCAAGGCUAAAACUCAAAGGAAUUGACGG
rnacentral:rRNA from 1 species